AUGCCUGAAGGGAUGGGCUGGUCAGCUCGGUCAGCAGUGCAGCGAAACCCGCUGAGCCCAUGAUCCUCCCUUACCAAACUUCUACUCGUCCCUCAAAGCCCCAGCACCGAUGCUGACCACUCCUUCUCUCCAUAGGUGUCUUGCUCAGCCCUAGCAAGUGGCCCAGGCACCUAGGGACCUACUCACCACAGGCCUUGGCCGCCUGCACACACAGAUCCUCUGCCAGGGCAGACAUCUCCAACCGAUCCAUCCACAAGCCUCCGCGUCCCAGCCUGGUCACAGGCCAGGACCCCAGGCAGGCAUGAGCAAUCAACAGCAGACACAGAAAGAGGCCUGAGCAGGAAGCAGCAGCGGUUAGGGGGAUGGGGCCAGCUGUCUUUCCCUGUGGGUCCUCAGGUCACAGGAGCUGGGGCUAGAGGCGGCUGCACCUGGUGCCAUGGGUUCCCUGUGCCCGGGUCUGUGGCCUGUGCUGUCUCCCCAACCCUUCCUGGCCUCUCCUCACCCUCCUCACCUGCACAUCCAGCCUGCACUCUGUGGGCCUCCUAGGCCUCCUAGGGGAGGUCCCCGCAGGGGCCUAGGGGAACGCGUGCUUCCCGGCCAGCCCUCCACGGGCCUCAGAGCCGGUGCGGGCAGGGGCGGGGAGAAGAGGCAGGAAACAGCCAGCAGGCCUCAGCCCUGCUACCUCUAGCCCAGGAAGGUGGCUGGGAAAGGCACUUGCGGCCAAGCCUGAAGCCAGGAGUUCCAUCCGUGAAGCCCACCACGCAGGGCUGCCCUCUGCCCGGGCACCCUUCCGUAAUGAAAGAACAAAAGCAGGCACGGUGACCCACACUUGUCGCCGCCCGACUCCGGCCAGCCUGGGCGGCAUGACACUGUGUAGGAACAACAGAUCCACAAGUAAACAGAGUUCCAGAGCCCCGGCUCAGUGGCCCAGAGCUCCGGCCGCUCCAGCACAGGACCUGGGUUCGGUCCCCACCCAGGGCGGCUCACAACCAUCUUCCGCGCUAUCGGCCCCAGCGCCCCCUUCUGGCCUCCGCGGGCACUGCACUCAUGGAGCUUAUUUCUCAGGUGGCCGAGGGCUUUAGUCCCUGCACUCGGGGGGCAGAGGCAGGCGGAUCUCUGUGAGUUCGGGACCAGCCUGGGCUACAGAGCGAGAUCCAGGACAGCUGGGGCUACAUACUGUCUCAACAAAUAAACACCCCGAACAAAAUACACAUAAAAAUAAACUAAUGCCGGGCAAGGUGGCCACAUCCGAGCGCCCACGAGGCAGAGGCAGGAGGAUCUCUGUGAGUUUGAGGCCAGCCCGUUUUAGCGCAGCCAGUGCUUCAAAUAAAGACAGUUAACCCAUUCCUGUAUGUGGUGCUACACACGUUCAAGGUCAGACCCUGUCUCAAGAAACAAACAAGGGCGGGCAGGGCGGCUGGGCGGUGGAGGCCUGGCCCAGCCUGAAGCCACCGGCAAGUUAUCCUGUGACCUCCAGAUGUGCGCACUACACUCGCACAGAAUAAAGUUAGUAAAAAUG